GGGUCGGUACUCAAGCGGUCAACGAGGUCAGACUGUAAAUCUGAUGGCAACGCCUUCGCUGGUUCGAAUCCAGCCCGGCCCACCA
rnacentral:tRNA from 2 species